rnacentral:lncRNA from 1 species
CAGAUGCAGUGCAUCCAGCCCUGACCUGGCCCCGCUGAGUGCCCUGGAGUUAGGAAGCAGGGAGCGCCCUCGGCCCCACUCCCUCAUGGAGAUCUGACUGUACCUGGCUGGGGGCGUGUGGGGUGGGAGGAGGCUGGCUGCCCUGCUUGAGCCAGCAGCCCAGGAGCGUCGAAUUCAGGGAAAAGCGCCUGACUCCCGGUGCUCCUGCACUCCAGCCAGUCACAGAAACCAGGGAGGCUGAGGCCCGGGCUGGCCAAGGUCACGCGGAAUGCAGGACUAGACUGCAGGGCUCGGGAUCCAGCCAAGGCCUUUGCAGCGGGCAAGGUUCCCACAUUUGGAAAGGAGCACCCGCACUGAUCUCUGCCGGACAAGCCUUUGGCUGUGUUACGGAGCACAGAGCUCACAUUUGGAUACAGCGCUGAUUUCAGAGAAAUAAUUGAAGCCAUGAAAUGCUGAAGGGCCGUGCAUUUUACAAUUCUUGUGUUUGUUGGGUGUAGAAGACCAAAUGGAGGAUUUUAGUUCUCGCCACCACUGGAAAGGGUGUCUUUGUCCUCUUCUUCCCUCAACUUUGGAAAGUUAAGAAAACAAGACAAAUCACGUGGGGACACGUUCGCCCCACUGUGAGUGAGCAGGACUUUAGUAACAGAUAGCUGUGCCGGGCUCCUUCCUUGUCUCCCUGGAGUGAGAGCUGUGGCCUGCGGUUUGCCUGGAAGGGAGAUCCUCUGCCAGGGGGAAGCGAGCCGAGGAGCAGACCAGGCGGCCACUUGCUAGGCGUCCUUACCUCCCUGCCGCCCCCUGAGGCUCCCACCGGCAGGCCUUCAGGCCUGGCAGAGUCGGGGUCCCAGCUCUGCUGAGCUGUGCCACCUCUCCUGGAGAGACGGAGAGCCAGAGAGCCAGAGAGCCAGAGAGCCAGAGAGCCAGAGAGCCAGAGAGCCAGAGAGAGAGUCGUGGGGUGCAGGCCCUGCUGUGGGAGGUAGGUUGGAGUCUCUCCCCACUGCCCAGUGUGCCCCUGCCGACUCAUCUUUAGUUACAAAGGAAUGCUGAUUUGUUUAAGUUAAAAAACAAGAAAGUGUGUAAACAGACAGUAAAACUGCUCAAGCCGAAGCUUUUCAGUCACCAGCCGAUUCCUGUGCGUCCUGCUGCCGCGCACAUGAACUCAUGUGUAAGCAUGCGUUAUUAUUACUAACUUCUAAUGGGUAAAAUUAAAACAUUUGUACUAAAAUG